rnacentral:misc_RNA from 1 species
UCCCCGUUGCCGGGGCAGUCUGGCUAGAAAAAUAUAACUAACCAUAAGGGUUGCGCUCGUUGAUGGACUUAACCAAACAUCUCACGACACGAGCUGAAGACGGCCAUGCAACACCUGUCACUGGGUUCCCGAAGGCACUCUCGGCUUUCGCCAAAAUUCCCAGGAUGUCAAGCCUUGGUAAGGUUCUUCGCUUACCAUCGAAUUAAACAACACGCUCCACCGCUUGUGCGGGUCCCCGUCAAUUCCUUUGAGUUUUAAACUUGCGUUCGUACUACUCAGGCGGGAUGCUUAACGCGUUAGCUUCGCUACAUACCGGGUCGAUACGGCAUACAGCUAGCAUCCAUAGUUUACGGCGUGGACUAC